rnacentral:tRNA from 5 species
AGUUAAUGAUCUUGAUUUAAAGUUUAUGUUUUGAAAACAUAAGAAAGAAAUAUAAAUUAAAUUUUCUAUUAACUU